AACGAACGCUGGCGGCAUGCCUAACACAUGCAAGUCGAACGAGACCUUCGGGUCUAGUGGCGCACGGGUGCGUAACGCGUGGGAACCUGCCCUUAGGUUCGGAAUAACUCCCCGAAAGGGGUGCUAAUACCGGAUAAUGUCUUCGGACCAAAGAUUUAUCGCCUUUGGAUGGGCCCGCGUUGGAUUAGCUAGUUGGUAGGGUAAAAGCCUACCAAGGCGACGAUCCAUAGCUGGUCUGAGAGGCUGAUCAGCCACACUGGGACUGAGACACGGCCCAGACUCCUACGGGAGGCAGCAGUGGGGAAUAUUGGACAAUGGGCGAAGGCCUGAUCCAGCAAUGCCGGGUGAGUGAUGAAGGCCUUAGGGUUGUAAAGCUCUUUUACACGGGAUGAUAAUGACAGUACCGGGAGAAUAAGCUCCGGCUAACUCCGUG
rnacentral:rRNA from 1 species